rnacentral:tRNA from 1 species
CAUAUUAAAGUUUUUGUGGAAUUUUUCUGUUACAAUGAAAGGGUCUCUUUAUUUGAGUGAUAUGAUAA